rnacentral:rRNA from 1 species
GCAAGUCGAGGGGCAGCACGUCUUCGGAUGGUGGCGACCGGCGCACGGGUGCGUAACGCGUAUAGAACCUACCUUUUACAGGGGGAUAGCCUUUAGAAAUGAAGAUUAAUAUCCCAUGGUAUUAUAGAUUGGCAUCAAUUUAUAAUUAAAGAUUUAUCGGUAAAAGAUGGCUAUGCGUCCUAUUAGCUAGAUGGUGCGGUAACGGCGCACCAUGGCAACGAUAGGUAGGGGCCCUGAGAGGGGGAUC